AUAUAGUACAGUACAGUGUGGUAUAGAUAGUUAUAGUGUAAUAUAGUACAGUACAGUGUGGUAUAGUAUAGUGUAAUAUAGUACAGUACAGUGUAGUAUAGUAUAGUAUAGUGUAAUAUAGUAUAGUACAGUACAGUGUGGUGUAGUAUAGUAUAGUUGUGUAUAGUAUAGUGUAAUAUAGUACAGUACAGUGUGGUAUUAUAUAGUAUAGUGUAAUAUAGUAUAGUACAGUACAGUGUGGUGUAGUACUGUGUAAUAUGUAAAAUAAAUGCAUUUCCAUCUACUUUAACUGAUCUCAACCAUACAAAUGUUUACGCUUGUUUGACCAAAUCACCUGUCAGUCAGCUCACUCAAACAUUUUGUAUCUGUUUCCUCAGCAGUGUUGUUUGUCCUAAUGUUGUAUGCAUCUUGCUCUGAACGACUGACUCUACUAUCUGUACUAUGUUUUACAUUUUUAGUGCUUGAUUGUUUGUCGUUUUUCACUUUUUGUGUUAGUUCAUUCUUUAUGUGUUAUUGUAUUAGUAUUGUAAAGCAUCGCUCAGCGUUGGAAAGGCGCUAUAUAAAUGAAACAUAUAUGUAUACACUCAGACAGAUACUCUCUCUCUCUCUUCUCGUCUCGUCCUCCCUCCACUGCUCGUCGUCUGCUCCACUCGGAGAUGAAGUUUGUUUGUUUCUGCAUCGUGAGCUGUAAUUAACGUUUCACUAAUUACUGUGAUUUACACUGACAAAGAGGCAGAGAGGAGAAUAAACACCCCGAAUCACUCGCAUAACUUUAAUAUGCACUGACUGACAUUAAACACACACACACACACAGUCCUCAAUAUGGAAGCAUUUAGAUUAUUUUGUACACGUUUCAUUUCAACACUUGAAACACUCUGUGUACAUUUAUUAGCUGUGAAAGUCGUACGUUUUGUAUCACAGCCCUCUGAGUUUGGAGGGAAAAACUUCAUCUUGACGUUUUUACCAUGCGGAAAAUCCAGAAAUCAUCCUAAACAUCUCGUUCAUUUAUAUAAUAUAGAUAAUGUGCCUUAAAAUGAUCUAUUAAAAACAUCGGUGUUAUCAUUUAACUGGUAAUGAAGUGCUUACUUCUUCAGGUUUAGUGUGUGCGUGUGUGGUGAUGAUGAAGUCAUCUUCUUGUUUAUAGUUCAUUAUAGAAAGUGGAACAGUUUUCCAGCACCUUCAGGACGGAGGAGUUUACGUUUCUUUGCGGUUUCUCGGUAACAUGACGAGCUGUGUUCGGAUGUUUAUAGCUGUUAUAACGUACGUGAGGACAGGAACUAUAAACGGAUAAAAAGUACGACGUAUCGUUCUGGGGUACUGUAAAUACAUUUGGAAUUUAAUGACUGUAAUGGUGGUAAUUGUGACUCUGGUUUAAUGCCUGGAAGCAGUGCGGCUCGACAGUUUCUGUAUUUGUGUUUUAGUAAUAUUCCGUCUCUGGUUGUGAACUUCGGCUCUAGUCUGGAUUACGAGUAUGGAUUUAACCUUGUUAAUCAUUAAUCGCAAAAAAAAAAAAAAAAAAAAAUGCCUUGAUGAAAAAUCAAUCUGCGAUGUUUCUACCCAAAAGUACAAAAAAGAGGUCAGACGAAUUACAGAGAGAUUAAUUUAUCACCUCUGAUGUGAUUUAGUGCAGUCUGAAGAUCACUUCAGGGACAAACAGUGCGAGUGUAAAUGAGUGAACGUGAAAACCAGGCUCCUGCCGUCCUGAUCACAAUCACAAUCACACACGCCGAGUUCGGGGUCGCCGCAUACUGAAAUUACACACAUCGGUACUCAGAGGUCAGACGUACUGUAACUACUGACUAGAGCGCUAUUCGGAAGUUACGCACACUGCGGUGGAGUUCGGCUCGGGUAUGUCCGACUUAUUUCACGAAUGCGUUCAAAAACACUAAGGAAUAUCAAUAAUAUAUCGACACUGAAUAUUUAAGGAUGAUAUUAAAUACAUAAACACGCAAUAAAUUCAUCAUAUUGUCUUUGUAAAGUCCACUUUCUUUUUUCCUACUCAGAGACAUCGCUUACUUUGAGGAUUAUAUAUGGAUAAAAUGAUGAAUGUGAGCUGUAAGCAUAGGUCAGCUUAUCCUUCAAACCGCGGACACCUGUUCUUUACCGAAUGAACAGUAACACGGGCGUUCUUUAUUGACUCAAAACUAAAAGUGAAUUAAAAGUCAAAUAAAAUCGGCUGUACCGCGCGCACACGUUACGAUUUCAUGACCUCGAUUUAGUAUGUCACGGUUUUAUUAAGUUGUGCGGAGGAUAUGAAAAGGUAAAAUAUAAAAUAAUAUAACGUGCUGGACUCUGAACACGGCGAGAGCUGAAACAGGUCUCAUCGCCUCUCCUCACUCCGAGGAGCUCGUAUUACAGCCUACGUCCUCGCUACGUCUUUAUCGGACAUGCAGAAGGAACGUAGGAUGGAAAAAGAGCAGCGCUGAUAAUAACCCGGAGAACAUCACCGAUCUCCGAGGUCGUCCGUGUUCUGCAGGAGGUUCGGUGAUCUUCACCAAAAUAGUAUUCGCUAGAACGAGGACAUGCUACAUUUUUAGGAAAAAUAUUU
ensembl:lncRNA